UUGAUAGAAAUAAAAAGAGAGCUUCUAACUCUUAAAAAAAAUAUUUCUUAGUAAA
rnacentral:tRNA from 1 species